rnacentral:rRNA from 1 species
GACAGAGGGUGCAAACGUUGCUCGGAAUCACUGGGCGUAAAGGGCGUGUAGGCGGGUAGGCAAGUCGGGCGUGAAAUCCCCGGGCUCAACCUGGGAACUGCGUUUGAAACUACAAGGCUAGAGUGUAGCAGAGGGGGGGUAGAAUUCCACGUGUAGCAGUGAAAUGCGUAGAGAUGUGGAGGAAUACCAAUGGCGAAGGCAGCCCCCUGGGUUAACACUGACGCUCAUGCACGAAAGCGUGGGGAGCAAACAGG